rnacentral:rRNA from 1 species
CCUACGGGCGGCAGCAGUCGAGAAUCAUUCACAAUGGGGGAAACCCUGAUGGUGCGACGCCGCGUGGGGGAAUGAAGGUCUUCGGAUUGUAAACCCCUGUCAUGUGGGAGCAAAUUAAAAAGAUAGUACCACAAGAGGAAGAGACGGCUAACUCAGUGCCAGCAGCCGCGGUAAUACAGAGGUCUCAAGCGUUGUUCGGAAGCACUGGGCGUAAAGCGUGCGUAGGCUGUUUCGUAAGUCGUGGGUGAAAGGCGCGGGCUCAACCCGCGGAUGGCACCUGAUACUGCGAGACUAGAGUGAUGGAGGGGGAAGCGGAAUUCUAGGUGUAGCAGUGAAAUGCGUAGAGAUUGAGAGGAACACUCGUGGCGAAGGCGGGUUCCUGGACAUUAACUGACGCUGAGGCACGAAGGCCAGGGGAGCGAAAGGGAUUAGAUACCCGAGUAGUC